rnacentral:rRNA from 1 species
UACGUAGGUGGCAAGCGUUGUCCGGAUUUACUGGGCGUAAAGGGCGUGCAGGCGGUCUGUUAAGUGCAGGGUGAAAGCUCCCGGCUCAACUGGGAGAGGUCCUUGCAUACUGGCGGACUUGAGGGGGGUAGAGGAAAGUGGAAUUCCCGGUGUAGUGGUGAUAUGCGUAGAUAUCGGGAGGAACACCUGUGGCGAAGGCGGCUUUCUGGGCCCUACCUGACGCUGAGACGCGAAAGCGUGGGGAAGCGAACCGGG